UACGUAGGGUGCAAGCGUUAAUCGGAAUUACUGGGCGUAAAGCGUGCGCAGGCGGUUUUUUAAGUCUGUUGUGAAAGCCCCGGGCUCAACCUGGGAAUUGCGAUGGAGACUGCAAGGCUUGAAUCUGGCAGAGGGGGGUAGAAUUCCACGUGUAGCGGUGAAAUGCGUAGAGAUGUGGAGGAACACCGAUGGCGAAGGCAGCCCCCUGGGUCAAGAUUGACGCUCAUGCACGAAAGCGUGGGGAGCAAACAGG
rnacentral:rRNA from 1 species